rnacentral:rRNA from 1 species
UACGUAGGAGGCGAGCGUUGUCCGGAUUUACUGGGCGUAAAGCGCACGUAGGCGGAUCGUUAAGUCGGGGGUGAAAUCCUGGAGCUCAACUCCAGAACUGCCUUCGAUACUGGCGAUCUCGAGUCCGGAAGAGGUGAGUGGAACUCCUAGUGUAGAGGUGGAAUUCGUAGAUAUUAGGAAGAACACCAGUGGCGAAGGCGACUCACUGGUCCGGUACUGACGCUGAGGUGCGAAAGCGUGGGGAGCAAACAGG